rnacentral:rRNA from 1 species
AUUGAACGCUGGCGGCAGGCCUAACACAUGCAAGUCGAGCGGAUACAGGCAGCUUGCUCCUGGAUUCAGCGGCGGACGGGUGUGUUAUGCCUAGGAAUCUGCCUGGUAGUGGGGGAUAACGUCCGGAAAACGGGCGCUAAUACCUCAUACGUCCUGAGGAAGAAAGUGGGGGAUCUUCGGACCUCACGCUAUCAGAUGAGCCUAGGUCGGAUUAGCUAGUUGGUGGGGUAAAGGCCUACCAAGGCGACGAUCCGUAACUGGUCUGAGAGGAUGAUCAGUCACACUGGAACUGAGACACGGUCCAGACUCCUACGGGAGGCAGCAGUGGGGAAUAUUGGACAAUGGGCGAAAGCCUGAUCCAGCAAUGCCGCGUGUGUGAAGAAGGUCUUCGGAUUGUAAAGCACUUUAAGUUGGGAGGAAGGGCAGUAAGUUAAUACCUUGCUGUAUUGACGUUACCAACAGAAUAAGCACCGGCUAACUACGUG